AAACAGGGUUUGUUAUGUCGCCCAGGCUGAUCUUGAACUUUGGGGCUCAAGCGAUCCGCCCGCCUCAGCCUCCCACGUCCUGGGAUUAUACUUGUGGCCACUGCCACAGCCUUGCCGUGGUUUUUGGUCCGAACUUUGAAGGUGCCUGGUGCUGAACAUCUCUUCCUGUACACGUUUGCCUUCUGCGUGCCCUCGUCAGAGAAAUAGCUCUUCACGUCCUUUGCCCAUGUUACCCUCGAGGGCAGGAGCCCCUGGCUGUGCACAAGCCUGAGGCCGGCCAGAAGGUGCAUGACCUGCUUCCAUGACAGGAGCCGGGGACACCUCCCUCCUCUGGAAAGUUCCCGAUACUGGCAUCUCCCAUCAGGGACCUGAGUGCUGGAGCUGUGGCCUCUCCCUGCUUCCUGCAGAGCUGACCAUCCGGUGACCAUCAGCUUCUGUAGACCUCAGUAGUCUCAGGAAGGCAUCCCUAGGGUCUGUCUGUGAUAAAAGACAGAGGCUCCUUCCUCAGGAAUUUCCUGUUUUGGGGACACUGACUCAUUCUCCAGCGAGUUCCCACAAGGAAACACAAAGAACAAGGAGCUGGAGGCCCAGCCGUGGACGCCCACUUCCUGUCCUGGGGGGCAGGAAAUCCCCAGGAAGACACCAGAUUAAAUCAGAUCUGCACACCCCAUCACUUCCUCUGGCGACCUGACGAGUUGUGUGGGAUUGCGUGAGACCUUCACCAAGACCCAGCCUGGGCCCGGGAUGUGGGGAGCCAAGGCGGUGGUGCUAAGACCACAGGACAAUGCGGGGCAGGAAUGCGCUGAGGUCCCUGACCUGGGUCCCCACUCACCUUGUUCCAGCACGGAGCACCCUGCCCAGCACCCCUAGGCUUGCUGGGCUGCUGGGGGCUCCCAGCCUCUGCUGGAAACUGCACCCCUGCCCAGUUUCUCCUGGCUGCCUUCCUGCCCUUCUUCCCCUGACUUCAGUGCUCAGUGAAGCGUCACCUUCCUGGAGGCCUCCUGCAAACCCCAGACAGGGGAGCAGGGGCUUUGCUGCGGAGAUUCAGCCACAUACGGCUUUUCUUUCAUUGACAUUGACUUUUCAUUACAAAAUUGGCAUGCCCACCGAGACCCGAAUGAAAGAGCAGUGUCUAAAGCAAGAAGCAGCGCCCCCUCACUGCUGUCUCUGAAAGCAGCGCCCCGGCGUUCGCUCCCACUUCCAUAGUUUUCUCUGCUUAUGCAAAAGCACAUGUUGAAAACAACAACUUGUAGGAAGAAAAAAAGUUGGGCCUGGUGGCUCACGCCUGUAAUCCCAGGACUUUGGGAGGCCGAGGCAGGAGGAUCACCUGAGGUCAGGAGUUGGAGAGCAGUCUGGCCAACAUGGUGAAACCCUGUCUCUACUGAAAAAAUACAAAAAUUAGCUGGGCAUGGUGGUGUGUGCCUAUAGUCCCAGCUACUCUGGAGGCUGAGGCAGAGACAGGAGAAUUGCUUGAACUCAGGAGGUGAAGGUUGCAGUGAGUUGAGAUCGUGCCACUGCACUCAGCCUGGGCGGCAGAGAGAGACUCCUUCUCAAAAAAACAACAACAAAAAAUAAAAUAAAAAGAGAACAAUAACUUGUAACCGGCAGGGUUGCUGCAUGAGUUUCUUACACUCUGUAAGGCUAUUCUUGGAUGUAAGUGAGCCAGUGUGGCCAGGAGGGUGACAAGAAGCAGUGUGCACCUUGCUGUCACCUGGGCUCAGAGAUUCUGGAGGGGUCGGUCUAAGGGUGGUGGGAAGCAACACUGAGGCAGCAAGAGGGGCUCCUUAGGAUCUGCUAAAAGCUCUGCAGAACGUCACUGUCCCCUGUACAGCCAGGAGGCCAAGGCCCAGCGCUGGGAGCCACCUCCCUCCUCAGGGGCCUGACGACAAAGGCAGUGCUUCCUCGAGUCACUCCACCAACGUCAAGGACCUCAAAGCCAAGCUCCUGCUACACAGUGGAAAUGAGGACCAUUGCUAGUGAUAAGUGCCAGAGCCAUCAGGUUUUGAAAGGCCCCUGCCUGGUUGCAGUCACAGACCAUCCAAGCUGAAACGCAUGCUGCUCCAGAUGGCCACACCUGAUCCCAACGAAAACGCAGGAGACAAUGCGUGAAGUUUGUCCAGCAUGAAACAGUCAUUCGAUAAACUAGAUAAAAGGCUCCAAAAUGUGGACAAGGAGAAACAACCUAGCAUACAUCAGUUGGUUGUGGUGUUUAAGUCACUUUCUAUUUUCUAAGUUUCCUACAAGAAUUACCUGGAGGCGGCUGGGUGUGGUGGCUCAUUGUGAGCCAAAAGUGCGCCACUGCGCUCCAGCCUGUGCAAGAGAGCGAGACUCCAUCUCUCUCUCUCUCUUUUUGUUUUUUGAGAUGGAGUUUCGCUUUUUUUGUCCAGGCUGGAAUGCAAUGGCAUGAUCUUGGCUCACUGCAACCUCUGCCUCCUAGGUUCAAGCGAUUCUUCUUGCUCAGCCUCCCAUGUAGCUAGGAUUAUAAGUGCCUGCCACCAGGCCUAGCUAAUGUUGUAUUUUUAGUAGAGGCAGGUUUUCAUUAUAUCGGUCAGGCUGAUCUUGAACUCCUGACCUCAGGUGGUCUGCCCACCCUGGCCUCCCAAAUUGCUGAGAUUACAGGGGUGAGCCACCAUGUCUGGUUGAGACUCCAUCUCAAAAAAAAAAAAUUACCUGGAGGCUUCCUCUACAUGAUAAUGUAAUCUGCAGAAGGGUCUGGCUGCUCACUGCUCUUUCUUGUAGAAAGAAGCCAAAAUAGUAACAAGUUGUGAUAGAAAGAGAACGAGACUUUAUUAUCAAGCCAGCAGGGGAAAAGCAGAAAGCAGCUCCACUCUUCCAUUUGCAGAGGGAAUGCAGAGCAUUUUCUCUCUUUCUUUUUUUUUUUUUUGAGACAGAAUUUUGCUUUUGUCACCCAGGCUGUAUUGCAGUGACACAGUCUCGGCUCACCACAACCUCUGCCUCCCAGGUUCAAGUGAUUCUCUGCCUCAGCCUCCAAAGCAGCUGGGAUUUCAGGCACCUGCCACCACGCCCGGCUAAUUUUUGUAUUUUCAGUAUAGACGGGGUUUCACCAUGCUGGUCAAGCUGGUCUCAAACUCCUGACCUCAGGUGAUCCUCCCCUCUCAGUCUCCCAAAGUGCUGGGUACAGGCGUGAGCCACCAUGCCUAGCCAGGCAGGGGAUUUGAAAGAGAGGGUUUGGAAUGCAGAAGAGGCAGGGGGUGAGGAGGUGCCAGGUGCAUGACCCACCCCAAGGCUCCCCUUGAAUUGUUCCAUCUGGUGAAGGGGCUGGUGCCAGCGUGGCUUCUACCAGGUUAUAAACUAAUUGUCGUCAGACUCGUAGUCAGUCUCGAGCCAGGAGCGCGUUCCUGCCUUGAAGUAAUUUUUUGCUGGAGAGAGAAUUCCGGCGGUGUCUGGUCUGUAUCAGGAUCUGAGGGUUUUAAGGAAGUAGUGAGCAGAUAAGUGAGCAUGGUUUGCACCUAACAACAUUCCAGGUAAAUAAGUGUGCGUAAGGCUUGGAGCACAGAAUGGGAACGGGAGUGGAGCUCACAGCACAUUCCAAGGCUGUGAAGUUUAUCUCAGAGCUACAGCUUGAAACUGGGGAGGAAGCAGAAAAGGGGAAAGAAAAAGAAGUUUUGAAAUGUGAUUUGAGGUGAAGCUGUAAGUGGCUCGGUUACAAGGACCUUAGCUUCCACACCCUCCUGCACCCCUCGUAGCGUGACUCCAGAUGAAUUCAUCUCUUCAGACCCAGCUUGACCCCUCUAGCCAGUGGCCAAUCAGGGAAGCCUUCCACCUGUGGCCCCUGCUUCCAGAUGUCCUGCCUUUCUGGGCCGAACCAGAGUAUGCAUUAUGUGUAUUGAUUUCUGGCUUUGCCUGCAAUUUCUGUCUCCCUAAAAUGUAUAAAGGCAAGCUGUACCUUGACCACCUUGAGCACAUGCUCUCAGGACGUCCCAAGGCUGUGUCAUGGGUCACAAUCCUUACUCUUAGCAAAAUAAACCUCUAAAUUGAUUGAGACUCAUCUCAGACACUUUUUGGCUUACAAGGGGCAGCGACAGCUCAGGGUAGGGGAUUUCUGGCCACAGUCUACUUACUGUCACAAAUAUGGGGCAGGUUCCAGGGAAAGCCGAGUCCAUGGAUCCUGAAGGAGCAAGGAUGCUGGCACCAUCCCUGGGGUGUGUCCCCCAGAGUCUCAGGGCAGGCUCCAGGAAAAGAAGGGCCUGACCAAUGGAGCUCCUGGAUCCCAGGGUUCCCAGAGUUCCAUGGUUCCAGGGUUCCCAGGGUUCCAGGUU
ensembl:lncRNA